rnacentral:lncRNA from 1 species
UUUGUGUUUUAGGAGAGCUCACGCCAGAAAGGAAGUCCUAGACGAAGGAAACAUGCUACCUUAAUUAACAUGCAAACGAGAGACUAUACGAAGUCUAGCAAUCCUAUGGGGAUACAACAAGCAAGUCUCAAGAGAGACCAAAAACUGGAAAUGGAAUUCCAAUCGUUGGGCUUACAUCCAACUCCAAAAACAGACGGGAAACAGAUAGCCAAUCGCUGGUCUUACAUCUGACUCCACAUGCUAAGUAAACAAGCAAUCAAGCAGCACACGCUAUAUGCAAACAAGCGGCUCAUACAAGGCUGGGCUUUAGUCA